UACCAGCACCCCGAGUGGUCGGGACGAUUAUUGGGCCUAAAGCAUCCGUAGCCGGUUCUACAAGUCUUCCGUUAAAUCCACCUGCUUAACAGAUGGGCUGCGGAGGAUACUAUAGAGCUAGGAGGCGGGAGAGGCAAGCGGUACUUAGUGGGUAGGGGUAAAAUCCGUUGAUCCAUUGAAGACCACCAGUGGCGAAGGCGGCUUGCCAGAACGCA
rnacentral:rRNA from 1 species